UACGUAGGUGGCAAGCGUUGUCCGGAUUUAUUGGGUUUAAAGGGUGCGUAGGCGGCCUUGUAAGUCAGUGGUGAAAUACUCCAGCUUAACUGGAGGGGUGCCAAUGAUACUGCAGGGCUUGAGUACAGAUGAGGUAGGCGGAAUUGACGGUGUAGCGGUGAAAUGCAUAGAUAUCGUCAAGAACACCUAUAGCGAAGGCAGCUUACUGGGCUGUAACUGACGCUGAGGCACGAAAGUGUGGGGAUCAAACAGG
rnacentral:rRNA from 2 species